rnacentral:rRNA from 1 species
AGACGUCUACAUUAGAUACCCGCGUAGUCCCAGCCGUAAAAUAUGCGCGUUAGGUGUAUCGGUGACCACGAGUCACCGAGGUGCCGAAGGGAAACCGUGAAACGUGCCGCCUGGGAAGUACGGUCGCAAGGCUGAAACUUAAAGGAAUUGGCGGGGAGCACCACAACGGGUGGAGCCUGCGGUUUAAUUGGACUCAACGCCGGGAAGCUCACCGGAUAAGACAGCGGAAUGAUUGCCGGGCUGAAGACUCUGCAUGACUAGCUG